rnacentral:rRNA from 1 species
CAGUCGCCGCGGGAAUACGAAGGGUGCAAGCGUUAAUCGGAAUUACUGGGCGUAAAGCGUGCGUAGGCGGUGAGUUAAGUCUGUUGUGAAAUCCCCGGGCUCAACCUGGGAAUGGCAAUGGAUACUGGCAAGCUAGAGUGUGUCAGAGGAUGGUGGAAUUCCCGGUGUAGCGGUGAAAUGCGUAGAGAUCGGGAGGAACAUCAGUGGCGAAGGCGGCCAUCUGGGACAACACUGACGCUGAGGCACGAAAGCGUGGGGAGCAAACAGGAUUAGAGACCCGUGUAGUCCCUGUCUCUUAUAC